CAUUGCAAGUUCCCUUUAUAACAACUUAGUAGUUGGCUUAUCAAACUAUGUAGGCUACAAUUCUGUGAAUAAUUUCCUGACAUUAAAAAUUUUAUAUUGUUCAAUACAAAAUCCGUUAUAAAGUGAAGUUGUAAUGUUUGUAUAUGUGGAUAUAAUAAUUGUAAGCGUGAAUAAAGUGGUGGUCUAACGAUACAACUGGCGUCGCCUCUUGGUCCAGCGAUGGUAUAAGUCUCAUGAUGACUACGGUGGAGAAUGACUUCGUCCCCAAGGCCGAUGAGGUCUGUAUUCGUUUGCCGUUGAAGAAAAAAGGAACGGAAUUUUUAUAAACCAACUACUGAGUUGUUAUAAAGUGAAGUUGUAAUGUUUGUAUAUGUGGAUAUAAUAAUUGUAAGCGUGAAUAAAGUGGUGGUCUAACGAUACAACUGGCGUCACCGCUUGGUCCAAUGAUGGUCUACGUCUUUUGAUUACGGUGGAGAACUUCACUUCGUCCCCAAGGCCGUUCUCAGUUCGUGGAGUGAUUUGUCUGCUUAAUUUUUGUUAUAGCAAAGAGAUUGAGCAGUAACGGGUCUGCAUUCAUUUGCCGUUAAAGAAAAAAAGGAACGAAUUUUGUAUUGAACGGCAAGGCUUAGCCAGAACGAUGGGAAUGGUGUAAACUGUCUCCUUUGAAUUCCUCAUAUUGUGACUGGUUUGGCUCUAAUUCCAUAUAUAUACAUGUGUUGUUAAGGUACUAAAUUUGAUUGUGCAGGUUCUACA